UACGUAGGGACCAAGCGUUGUUCGGAUUUACUGGGCGUAAAGGGCGCGUAGGCGGCGCAAUAAGUCACUUGUGAAAUCUCCGGCUUAACUCGGAGCGGCCAAGUGAUACUGUUGUGCUAGAGUGCAGAAAGGGCAAUCGGAAUUCUCGGUGUAGCGGUGAAAUGCGUAGAUAUCGAGAGGAACACCUGAGGCGAAGGCGGGUUGCUAGGCUGACACUGACGCUGAGUGCGCGAAAGCUAAGGGUAGCAAACGGG
rnacentral:rRNA from 1 species